CGGCGAAUUGUAGUUUAGAGAACUGUUAUCGAUGCUUAGAGUCCACCUAAGUCACUUGGAAAAGUGCGUCUUAGAGGGUGAGAACCCCGUGCGGUGGCGCUUUAGAUUAAGCACAUACGAGGCAGUCUCGACGAGUCGGGUUGUUUGGGAUUGCAGCCCCAAAUGGGUGGUAAAUUUCAUCUAAAGCUAAAUAUUGGCACGAGACCGAUAGCGAACAAGUACUGUGAAGGAAAGAUGAAAAGCACUUUGAAAAGAGAGUUAAAAGUACGUGAAACCGUUAAAAGGGAAGCGAUUGAAGUCAGCAGUGGAUUUGUUGAGAACAGCGGUGCGGCCUUUUUCUGUGAGUUGGUGCGGAGCGUAAGCCCAAUGCCGACUUUCGAGGAACGCAGUGUGUAUGCUCGACAUGAUCCUUGUCAACAUCUAUUCUUCGGGCGAGAGAGGAGUUUUUGGAAGGUAGCUUUUGUCUCAUCAUUUAUGAUUUGAGAAAAGUGUUACAGCCAUUGGCUUGUGUCGCCUUGAGGAUGGAUCAAUUUUUCAAUAUGCGCAGCCGAAUUUACUCAACGUGAAGUUUUGUGGUGUGAUAGUCGGAUUACACGUAAUGCGAUUUGAGCAGUAUAGAGGUGAGCGAGCGGAUAGAUCAGCUUUGUGUUGACGAAAUGGCUUUAACCGACCCGUCUAGUAACACGGACCAAGGAGUCUAACAUACGUGCGAGUACUAUGGUGGCAAACCAUUGUGCGCAAUGAAAGUGAAGGCUGGCUUCCGUCAGCUGAGGUGGGAUCCGCAAGGAGCACCAUCGACCGACCAUGUCCCUUCGGGGUAAAGGUUUGAGUGUGAGCAUUUAUGUUGGGACCCGAAAGAUGGUGAACUAUGCCUGAAUAGGGCGAAGCCAGGGGAAAC
rnacentral:rRNA from 1 species